UUCAUUGUAAUGACCCCUCCCCCCCCCCUCCUGCCCUGGAAAAACAUACAAUCAUCUAGUAAGUUAAAUGAUGGGUAGAUGUAGCCAAGUCUAAUUUAUCUGUGUGGUGCUAUUGUGUGGAGCAGUUCUACUAUUUUGCUCUUUCUCCCCACAGUCUUUGCACGGUUCCAUUGACAUUUGAUGUAAAUUUCCUAAACAAUCUACAAAACACUAGAAACAGAGCUUACCAAGAACAUAUCCCUGUCUUCAAGGAGAAGGAGCACAGCCUGUUGAUUGAAUCUUCUAAAUUUCCAAUUUCUUCUUCAUUAUCUUUUCCCUCCCUGGGGUGAUAUUUAUCAUGAUUUGGAAACUAAAUCAUCCUUGAAGAAUAAUAUGAUAUGAAAUGAACUCUACUCUUUGGUACGGACCAAUGUCAAGGAAGUUGUGAAAAGCUGCUGUCUGUGGAACGCCCACGUAGGACCAGUUUGGAAUGGACAGCAUCCUGUAGGAGGGAUGCCACACUGGAGCAGGGCAAGAGAGUGACCAUGAAGGAUAGACACAGAGUGUUAUGGACUAACCACAAUCUCCAUUCCCAAUUUUCCUGCUUGUGGGCAGGAGGUAGAAUGAAAUAGAUGGGGGGCGAAUGCAUUUUUAAUUUGCUUUGUCCGUGUCUCAACUCAAGAGUUUCAAUCAUAUUUUCUCUCCUUGUUCUUUUGAGGAUGGGGAGUGAGAGCUAAUAAUUUUGAGUUAUUUGGGGCCACACUUCUGAUUUUUAAGUCACCUUUCUUUCCCUUAUGAUUGUUUUGGGGGAGAAAAUUACACUGCACAUACUUUUUAUUCUGUCAUAUAUUAUGUUAUGACAAUUACUGGGAGCCCUGUUAUUGUUCUUACUGCAAAUAUUGCAUUCACACAAAAUAACUUUCAAGUUACUUACGCUAUUAUGUACACAAUCAGAAGCAUUCAGUAAGACUGAAGUUUAGUUUGUUAGCAUAUCUUGUGUGAGUUACAAGUGCAGGGGAAAUGAGUACUCUAAUCCUUAUAAAUUCCAAAACAUGCUUUCUUCAAUGUUUGUCAGCUCCACUGGCCCCCA
rnacentral:lncRNA from 1 species